rnacentral:rRNA from 1 species
AUACGGAGGAUCCGAGCGUUAUCCGGAUUUAUUGGGUUUAAAGGGUGCGCAGGCGGGAGAUUAAGUCGGCGGUGAAAUUUUGCAGGUCAACUGUAAAAGUGCCUUCGAAACUGGUUUCCUUGAGUGUAGAUGAAGUAGGCGGAAUUUGUGGGGUAGCGGUGACAUGCAUAGAUAUCACGAGGAACUCCGAUUGCGCAGGCAGCUUACUAAACUACUACUGACGCUCAGGCACGAAGGCGUGGGGAUCAAACAGGAUUAGAUACCCUGGUAGUCCACACUGUAAACGAUGUAUGCUUGGUGUUAUGCGUUUAUGCGCGUAGUGCCGUAGGAAAUCUGGUAAGCAUACCACCUGGGGAGUACGAAUGCAAGUUUGAAACUUAAAGGAAUUGACGGGG